rnacentral:rRNA from 1 species
UACGUAGGGCGCAAGCGUUGUCCGGAAUUAUUGGGCGUAAAGAGCUCGUAGGCGGCCUGUUGCGUCCGCUGUGAAAUCCCGGGGCUUAACCCCGGGCCUGCAGUGGAUACGGGCAGGCUGGAGGCAGGCAGGGGAGAACGGAAUUCCUGGUGUAGCGGUGGAAUGCGCAGAUAUCAGGAGGAACACCGGUGGCGAAGGCGGGUCUCUGGGCCAUUACUGACGCUGAGGAGCGAAAGCGUGGGGAGCGAACAGG